CUGCUGGCGAGGGGCUCGGGCACGCCCUGAGAGGAGAAUUUCCUCUAAGAGUCGACACCCCCCUCACCCCCCACCACACACGCACACGCUCCUCUGGGCGCAACCCGCCUCCUCAGCCGCCCAGGCACCCUUCUUAUUCACCCACAUCUCUCCCUGUCCCCACCCCCACGCGGAAGGGACGACGACGGGGCUGGAGGCAUCCCUCUCUCGCCCACUGCCUUCCCCCCUUCCAGUUCGCGAGAGACAGAACCGUGUAGUUUUUUCCUUUUUCUUCCUGGUCUGAACAAAGACCUGGUUGGAAACGAAAGCCUGAAACCAUAGAUCAGAGUCCUAGCUGUCCCUUGCAGCUCACAGGCUGGAACUCUCUGCUCUCCUGGGAGCCAGGAUCUCAUGGAGCAGACCUGGAACCACUUGCGUCCCGGCAGGGGGCCUGGGCGCUAAAAGCUGGGGACAGGGACACCUAAGCAAUGCUCAAAGAACUCACGUUUUGUGAACCUGGCCAAAGCCUUCUUUAGGUCUCAGCACAGCCUUCCCCCGCACCCCCUCCUUGUUGGGAUUCCAAGGAUUGGAUUGGACAGAUUGGGGCAGAAAUAUGAAAGUCAGGCAUGGCUAGGUUUUCCAAAGGUGGGAAACCUCAGGGUCUGGAUUGAGUUGCUGUGGCAGAGAGAACACAGGGCCUCACUCUCCCACACGCCCAGUUCCCACAGGGUGGAGUGGAACAGGACCAGUGCUCAACCUUGGCACCAGGCUGUACCUGCCCAGGAUGAACCCUCUGUGCUUUCCCAGCUGCCCUCCACACCUGGAAACUGUCCCCUCUAUUCCCGCAGGAGUACAUCCUCUCACCUGAUGCCCAACAGGGCUCUGGUGUCCAGUCACACACCUUGCUUUUGCACCUGCUGUUCCCUCUGCCUGGAAGGCCCUUCCCUGCAUCAUCUCCCUGAAGAAGUUGCCAACUCCUUCUCUAGAGGCAGUCUCACAGCCCAAAUCAUCAGUCUAGAACUGGUUCUCAAAGUGUGGUCUUUGGACCAGUAGUAUCAGCAUCAUCUGCCUGGAAAUUUGUUAGAAAUGCCAAGUCUCAGGCCCUCCCCUGGACCUACUGAAUCAGAAAUGUUGGAGGUGAGGCCCAGAAAUCCGUUCUAACCAGCCACCCAGGUGAGUCGGAUGUACAUUCAAGUUGAAAACCACCAACCUGAAACACCCACGGUGAAUGUGCCCAUGAGUGGCCCGCACAGUAGAGAUACUGAUGGGUUCCCAUGGGAACAGAGCAUUUAGAAAGAUGUCAGAAGAAUGAUAGCCUUUGUGCAGCAAGGCCUUUGACAUCCCCUCGACCAGGCCACGAGCGCUGGGAGGAGACCUCUCACCAGCCCCCGGUGCGGAUGCCCAGGCCCCACUGCCUGACGGCCCACCCUCCUACGGAGCUGUCAGCACAUUUGGCUCUGUCUCCACAUAAAUUCAUGGGCCAGCUGUCUCUUUUAAUCUGGUUGCAAGAUGAAACCAUUAAUAGAUGUCAGACACAUUGGCAAUGAUCUCUUCAUUAAUAAUUUCCUCCUUUCUGAGGAAAAAAAAUUAGUAACAAGCAACCAUCAAUAAUUCAAAAAUACGAGUUAACCUUUCUAUUAGCAGAGUGGCUUUGCACACACCGCGGACUCUUUCAGAGCCAGUAGUUCUGACUCGAAUCGUGUUUUAUGGCACAAAUAUUAACAUGCAUUAAUGCUCUCCGUCAAGAUGCGCAAAUGUAAAUAACCCAAAUGCAACUUAGAAACCAUAAGUAGUUUUCGAGUGUAACCUCGUGAUCCUACCAUUUUGUUCUGUGAAAACAUGCAUUGUCCAAUAAUAUUGCUGUGUCCAAAAGCAGUACUUCACAAAGAAAUCGUUUGCACUGUGAGGCCCUUGUGGUUAGAAAGAUUUCCCUUGCACUGAACCAACACUGCCAGUCUGCACCUUCCUCCCCUCGGAGUUGGCUCCUCUCUCUGGGAACACACGGAAAGAUCCUGGACACGCUUGCAGGUGACUCAGUUGGAUGUUGGUGUGCUCUAGGUAAGCAUUCUUGAUUCCUUACACUCUUCUUCAUCUCCUCCUCCUCCUCCUCCUCCUCCUCCUCCUCCUCCCCCUCCUCCUCUUCCUCCUCCUCCUCCUUUGAUUUCUAGUCCCCCACCAUCUGGUUCCUCUUCUCGGACAUACUCUAUUUUGGUAACACCCCUCUUUUGGGCGAGGCCUUGCACCUGCCCAUAUUCCCCAUGCCUCCAUUCACCAGUCAGGUGACCACAAACUAGUCACUCUCUCUCUCCAGUUGUGUUUCCCCAUCUGUGAAAUUGGGGUGAUUAUUCCCACCUCACUGAGCUGAGUGAGAAUUAUGUGAGCUAAUGGAUAUGAAAGCAUCUAGAACAGGACCUGGCCCACUCAAGAGAUCAUUUCUUUUCCUUUCUUUCCUACCUCCAAGUCUUAGGUUAACAUACCACCCCAGCCUUGAUUCCAGGCCAACUAUUAUAGACACCUGGUCGGCAACACAGCACGGACAGCCAGCUGCUUCAUCCUUGGGCCAAAACACCAGCACAUGGUCCAGACUAUUGGCAAGUAGACGUCAGUGCUUGAGCUGCCCUGGAUUUAACAAGUAACAUGGACCUCCCACCAUAAAGACCCUUGACAGUAACAGAACUCUGCCCACUACAGCCCAGCCUUUGGAUGCUGCACCAAUCAGACACAGAUUGCCAAGAGGGCCUUGGGAAAGAGAUUCCCACAAGGCAGCCAGGCAUGGGUUUCUGCUGCAGUGGUCUUCAACCCUUCUCCAUGUUAGAAUCACCUGGGGCCCCACCCUCAGCCAUUGAGUUAUUUGAGUAGGAGCCAGGCAACAGUAGUUUUUAAAGCUCCCCAGUAUUUCCACUAAAAACCACUGCAAGGACUCCUCACUUGGAGUCUCCCCAGCCCUGGAUGGGCUAUGAAUCAUCUCAGAAAUUCAAAGGGGGUGGACUUGGAGUGGGGUCUACACAGAGCUCUACCUCCUCAUAUUCUCAUACACCCUUAUAAAGAUGCCCCACCCCCUUGCCCAUCUCAGGGAAUCCCUGCAUGGAAGGAGAGGUGAUCCUGGAUGAGUGAUAGACAGUACAUUUCUCAGCAUGGGUCCCCGGGACACAUCCACUCCAGAGCCACUCAGGGUAGGUGUGCAUUCAUUUUACAUGGAACUGAAUCAGGAUCCUUACAGACUGAGGCUAGGGGUUUGAUUUUUCUUUUUUUUUUUUUUAACUUUCACACCAGAGGAUUCUCAGGCACAUUAAGUUUGUGAAUGGUUAAUGCCGUGUUAGGACAAGGAAGUUGAAAACCUGCAGAUACAACCUUGAGCCUACUGAGGCCAGGUCUGCAUCUUGCCCAUUUUUGUGUUUCUGACAGCUAUAAGGGUUUAGAGGAUGAAUACUGAGACUGGAGCGUGUACACACAUUGUAUUUUAGGCACGACUCUUUCUUACAAAUGACAUGUCUAGCUCAAAGCAACUUACGUGAAAAGAGGAAUCCAGUGGCUUAUUUAGCUGAGCGAUUCAUAAGCACCUUCAGGCAAAGCUGCAUCCAGGUAUUCAGUUGUCUCUCUCUCUCUCUCUCUCUCUCUCUCUCUCUCUCUCUCUCUCUCCCUCUCCAUCUCUCAGUGGUGCUUCUCUCAGUGGGUAGUCAGGGAAAAUUGGGCAGUGACCACUCCAUAUAUGGGUCUCAUGGCUUAGAGCCUUCAGUAGCAUCCCUGCCAAACUCUAGUGAAGAUACUUUGGCUGAUGUAGGUCACAUCCAUUUCCUGAAACAAUCGAUUUGGUCAGGAAAGUGGCAGAGAGGACAAUACUAUAAUUGGCCAGCCUCAGUCAUUUGUCCACCCCUCCAUAUAGGGGGUGGUCACCAUAAUUGACAGUCCCAUAAAGACCAAAUGGAGUGGGGAAGGAGUGUUUUCUCUAAAGGAUCUUGGGCAGUCAGGUAACCUGUAUCCACCUCACUUAUAAAUCACAAUGCUCAUAAACCUGUUUAGUAAGUGAUCUGCUGACCUAACUCCUCACCCAGGGUCUGCUCUCUGCUUAACCUGCUCUGCAUUCUGACACUCCAUUCAGUCCUUCGUUACCCACAGAGACCCUAUGAUUUUUAUACUUCCUACCCUUUUAUACUACCUACCCUUCCAACGUACCAAGGCAUAAGUGUUAUCCUCAAAAUAUUUUCAAGCAGCCAGCUCCUCUAUAGCCAAUCCAACGGAAUAAAUAGUUCUUUCAGCUUCAGAAAAUGGCGACUGUUGAAGAAAUAUUUUAGUCCACAACACAGAAAGAGAUUUCACCCGAAAUGAUAGCCACAAACUUUAGCCCCCAGAAUCUCCUUCACCACUCCCGGAACCGAGCUGGAUAACAGCAGAAGACUCCAAGCACACUGAGAUCCUUCAUUGGCGUGACAGGCCAGACUGCACACGUUUAUUCAAGCCAUUCUCACGUCAAAUAAAACGUUGAUAAAUCAUUAUUUCUACAAGCUAAAAAAAUGCUAAUAACUCAAGGCAGAAUGAGAUUGAGUUUGUUGAAAUGAAUGUGAAGAAUGGAUGGGGACAAUCUUGGAAUGUAAAACCAUAGAAAAUACCACCUGGGAACACAGAGAUCAUUUGUCUUAUCUGGAAGCCUGUCUCCAGGGUGGCAAAUGUAGGGAUUGGUUUGAGGACAGAGUAUGCCCUGUGCUCUGGGAGGGGGCUGAAGGGCAGGGAGGCAGAGGUGCUCCUUCACCCAAAACUACCAUUCAUCUCUGUCUGCCACAGCAGCUUAAAGAUUGAUAAUCUUGGGGAUUUUCCACUUUGGUUUUUCUUCUGCCUUUCCGAAAUGUUUGAACUUGCACUGACCUUGAGCCAGGCCCGCAGCUAAAAGCCCGGCAUGCACCAUCCACCCCACAGUUCUCAUUAUUCCCAAUGUACAGGUGAGGAAACUGAGGUAUGAGGAGGUUUGGUGCUUCAGGAUGGAUGCUGGUUUUAGGUUUGACUUUCCUCUCUACCUGUCCUAGAUGUUUUAAAAUCACUGUAAUUGUGUCUCCCCACCGUGGAUCAAGAAUGCUAGUCCAACCGUCUCUAAACCCUUGUCAUUUUAUAGACAUCUCAGUAGAGCUUUGCUAGUAAACAAACAAACAAACAAACAAAUACAUUCCGCUUACCCAGAAGCCAGAUCCCCUGCAAUAACUUCCCAGCUAGGUUCUCCCCGGAGCAGAAGAAUGUGCCAUUAUAGUCUGGGUUGAUUUUGGGUUUUUUGAAGGCUUUGUUUUUUCAAUUUUUCAGGCCUUACCUACCCUAGGAGGAACCAACGUAUGAUAACAGAGACAAUGUAACCUGAAAAAGUCCCCAGAUUAACAAAGGAAGAUACUCCCCAGUACUCAGUUGGGGUCAGAGCCUCUGCUUUGAGGGACUGGACCUCUGUCUAAUUCUUGUUUCCUGCAAGAAGAAUAUUAAGGGCCCAUGGAUGUUUUAAGACACAAAUGUAUGGAAUUUUCUCAGGUUUCUCUCUCAGAUAGGAUUCAAAAAAAAAAAAUCAGGAAUUGACAAAUGUUAAAUACUUCCUUACUGCUGGUAAUGCUUGCCCCACUCCUUCCCCUUUUUCUUCUCCUGAAACUCCUCUAACAUGAAUUUAUUUUCUAUUUGAAAGCCAAUCUCACUGGUUAUUAGAUAUUCUCCCUGCUGUCACCAUCAGUAAAUUAUUAAACAGCUGACCAAGCUUUGUUUUAAAAUGA